UCUCUCUCUUUUUCUCUUGUUCUCUCAAAUCUGUGAGCUCCAAAUUUCCAUGGUAUGCGGCUGCCUCAGUUGCGGUGUUCGUAGUUGGUGGAGGAGCGGCAUUCAUUCUUCUUAGAUUACUGUUUGUGUUUUCAUGUGUUGUGUGGCGGAAUUACAGCGAAUUCCAAUUUGGUCUUGGUUACAACAACUCGGUGAGUUGUGGCGGUUGUUGUGUGCGGAGAAGCAUUCAAUUGGUUGGCAAGUGAAUAUUUGCGGAUCAUGACUCACAUAGACCAGCAAAUACUUCCGGUCAAAGUUAAUACAUACAAGGCUUUGACAGCAGGGCCAGGUGCACCAAGUAGAUCGUGAAUAUUUGGCAAACAGAUUUCCAAGCUGAUUGAAAUGACGUUUCCAAGUCCAAGUUCAACUAGUUUCCAGGCAGAGCAAUGGUGACAUGGAGGUUAGACAAUCUUUUCCGAUUCCUAGUCUCUGACAAUUUUCUAGGAAUAGCUGGAAAUGUGCUCCACACUGAUCGAGGCGUGUGGAUUGAUGUACUUCCUUGUUUGUUCGACUUGUUAUAUUGAAUAUAAAACACAUUUUUGCCGGGACUGGUUGAUGAGGCUGCACAUAGGUUCAAGUUUGGACUCUAAUGGGGAGAAAAAUAUCCAAAAAAAUUGGAUACUUUAUCGGAUCUCGAAACAAGUACGUGCACCAGAGAAGUAAUGGACCAAUGUUGUUAGGGGUCGCAUCAUGCUGGCCUCUUUUUGAUUUGCCAAAGUCAUAGCUAAUCGCCUAUAACCAGAUGCAUGCUGGAUUCGCCACUUCUAUUGCACUAUAUUAGCAGGCGGUUGUAACGAACUUCAACCAGGCAUACUAUACCAAACCAACACAAACAACACGGUCCUGUAUGAACUGCUGCAUUUUCCGCAUGCGCGGCCAAUGACGAAACCAAUCGACCGGCAACAUCUUGCUUAGAAAAGUUGGGCAGCCAGAUUAUCAUGUUCAAUUGCGAGGAAGAGCUUUCAAAUUAACUGCUCGCUUGUCUGGUUCCCUGCCAGCCGCAACCGAAAACGACCCCAUGCAGGUGAGAAUGAAUUUGUCUUGACAAACUCUGUCUGAAUGUGAGGUUGGGUGAGAGUUCUUGAGCCUAAGCCAUUCUUUCAUUUCAAUCUACGUUGGUACAACGUCAAGCCAUCCUGGAAUUAUACUAGAGUUUGCAAUAAUCCGAUCCAAAGACCAUCUUGGAACAAAAGCCUGUGGCAGCAAUUAUCAUGGCAAUUGCUUACCUCGCCUCACUAAGUAAAGAUCUCCCAGUGUACUUUGUGCUGCUACUUUGUUGCUUCCGUGCUGCCCUUGCCCCACUAAUUCUUGCAUCGCUUGCAGCAGCUUCGGUAAUGUAGCAUCUUGCUUUUCUCGCUUUUACCUCCCUCUGUAUCUGCGAGUUAGGUGCUCGGUGACCUUCAUUAACUUAAGAUUGGAAGCUUUGAUGCCAUAAUGCACUGCACACAUGACCUCACUAUGGGCUCUGAGCUUAUGUAGCACUAGCCCAUGGUUUAUUGAUUAGGGUUUCUGUAAUGCGUGUAAAUUAGUGCCUGCUCUAACCUUCUGCAGUUUGUGUAAGUGUGAUUUUUAUAUUGCUUUCUGCUAGAAUUGUAUAUGAACAACUGGUUUGUUUACUUAAUUGAGAGUUUGGUGGCUUAUUGAUUGAAAGCCGUUUUGUAAAA